AGACGAUGAGGUAGAUAGGUUCGAGGUGGAAGUGUGGUGACACAUGGAGCUGACGAAUACUAAUCGAUCGAGGACUUAACCAAAA
rnacentral:rRNA from 1 species